rnacentral:rRNA from 1 species
GGGGUGUUAGGGCACGACACCGGAGAGGGAGCCUGAGAAACGGCUACCACAUCCAAGGAAGGCAGCAGGCGCGCAAAUUACCCAAUCCCGACAUGGGGAGGUAGUGACAAUAAAUAACAAUACAGGGUUCUUUUGGAUCUUGUAAUUGGAAUGAGUACAAUUUAAAUCUCUUAACGAGGAACAAUUGGAGGGCAAGUCUGGUGCCAGCAGCCGCGGUAAUUCCAGCUCCAAUAGCGUAUAUUAAAGUUGUUGCAGUUAAAAAGCUCGUAGUUGAAUUUCGGGAUCAAGGAAUCGGUCAUGCCUCGGUAUGUACUGGUUUUUUUGGUUCUCACCUUCUAAAGAACCAUAAUGUCAUUCAUUUGAUGUUAUGGGGAAUUAGGACUGUUACCUUGAAAAAAUUAGAGUGUUUAAAGCAGGCUUACGCUUGAAUACAUUAGCAUGGAAUAAUGAAAUAGGACAUCAGAUUCUAUUUUGUUGGUUUCUAGGAUCGAUGUAAUGAUUAAUAGGGAUAGUUGGGGGCAUUAGUAUUCAAUUGUCAGAGGUGAAAUUCUUGGAUUUAUUGAAGACUAACUACUGCGAAAGCAUUUGCCAAGGAUGUUUUCAUUAAUCAAGAACGAAAGUUAGGGGAUCGAAGACGAUCAGAUACCGUCGUAG